GAGCAUAUCAAUAAGCGGAGGAAAAGAAACCAACAGGGAUUGCCCUAGUAACGGCGAGUGAAGCGGCAACAGCUCAAAUUUGAAAUCUGGCUCUUUUAGAGUCCGAGUUGUAAUUUGCAGAGGGCGCUUUGGCGUUGGCAGCGGUCCAAGUUCUUUGGAACAGGACGUCACAGAGGGUGAGAAUCCCGUACGUGGUCGCUAGCCUUCGCCGUGUAAAGCCCCUUCGACGAGUCGAGUUGUUUGGGAAUGCAGCUCUAAAUGGGAGGUAAAUUUCUUCUAAAGCUAAAUACUGGCCAGAGACCGAUAGCGCACAAGUAGAGUGAUCGAAAGAUGAAAAGCACUUUGGAAAGAGAGUCAAAUAGCACGUGAAAUUGUUGAAAGGGAAGCGCUUGCAGCCAGACUUGCCUGUAGUUGCUUAUCCGGACUUUUGUCCGGUGCACUCUUCUGCGGGCAGGCCAGCAUCAGUUUGGGCGGUUGGAUAAAGGUCUCUGUCAUGUACCUCCUUUCGGGGAGGCCUUAUAGGGGAGACGACAUGCAACCAGCCUGGACUGAGGUCCGCGCAUCUGCUAGGAUGCUGGCGUAAUGGCUGUAAGCGGCCCGUCUUGAAACACGGACCAAGGAGUCUAACAUCUAUGCGAGUGUUUGGGUGUCAAGCCCAGACGCGUAAUGAAAGUGAACGGAGGUGGGAACCUUUUAGGUGCACCAUCGACCGAUCCUGAUGUCUUCGGAAGGAUUUGAGUAAGAGCAUGGCUGUUGGGACCCGAAAGAUGGUGAACUAUGCUUGAAUAGGGUGAAGCCAGAGGAAACUCUGGUGGAGGCUCGCAGCGGUUCUGACGUGCAAAUCGAUCGUCAAAUUUGGGCAUAGGGGCGAAAGACUAAUCGAACUAUCUAGUAGCUGGUUCUGCGA
rnacentral:rRNA from 1 species